UCGCUAGGAUAUCGCAUCCUAUGCCUACGUAUCUCAUCUGGAAUGAGAAUCAGAGCUACCGUAGUUCGGCUAACGCACGCCGAAACAAAACACAACACAAAGACGCUGAGACGUCAAAAGCUACCGUAGUUCGGCUAACGCACGCCGAAACAAAACACAACACAAAGACGCUGAGACGUCAAAAGAAACUCGCAAAUGGAAACAGACUGCCAAUGGCUGGUCUUACGUCCGACUCCAAACAACAAAC
rnacentral:lncRNA from 1 species